rnacentral:rRNA from 1 species
UACGUAGGGUGCAAGCGUUGUCCGGAAUUAUUGGGCGUAAAGGGCUCGUAGGCGGUCCAUCGCGUCGGGAGUGAAAAGCUGGGGCUUAACCCCAGUCCUGCUUCCGAUACGGGUGGACUAGAGGUAGGUAGGGGAGGUCGGAAUUCCUGGUGUAGCGGUGAAAUGCGCAGAUAUCAGGAGGAACACCGGUGGCGAAGGCGGAUCUCUGGGCCUUACCUGACGCUGAGGAGCGAAAGCGUGGGGAGCGAACAGG